rnacentral:rRNA from 1 species
GAUGAACGCUGGCGGCGUGCCUAAUACAUGCAAGUCGAGCGAACAGAUAAGGAGCUUGCUCCUUUGACGUUAGCGGCGGACGGGUGAGUAACACGUGGGUAACCUACCUAUAAGACUGGAAUAACUCCGGGAAACCGGGGCUAAUUCCGGAUAACAUUUAGAACCGCAUGGUUCUAAAGUGAAAGAUGGUUUUGCUAUCACUUAUAGAUGGACCCGCGCCGUAUUAGCUAGUUGGUAAGGUAACGGCUUACCAAGGCAACGAUACGUAGCCGACCUGAGAGGGUGAUCGGCCACACUGGAACUGAGACACGGUCCAGACUCCUGCGGGAGGCAGCAGUAGGGAAUCUUCCGCAGUGGGCGAAAGCCUGACAGAGCAACGCCGCGUGAGUGAUGAAGGUCUUCGGAUCGUAAAACUCUGUUAUUAGGGAAGAACAAAUGUGUAAGUAACUGUGCACGUCUUGACGGUACCUAAUCAGAAAGCCACGGCUAACUACGUG